rnacentral:tRNA from 1 species
GUGCCCGUAGCUCAGUUGGAUAGAGCAACAGCCUUCUAAGCUGUGGGUCAGGGGUUCGAAUCCCUUCGGGCACGCCA